rnacentral:tRNA from 1 species
ACUUUUAAUGGACAGCAGCCGUCCGA